GGUGAGCGCUCCUUCUCCGCGCAACUCGCGGCUUCGGCACCGCCUUCUUUCCUAUGAAUCCUUAAUUUAACGUGGUCAUAGUCAGCUUAAGACCGGCACCUCUCGGGCUCCGUCUUGUAGGACCUCGGCCUGGCCUCGAGGGCUUCCAUACAGGUCACCGCAGGCUCUUUCAACUCCCGCCGCUUCCAAACCCGCGUAACCAGACCACAACACUGAACUUGGAGCACCAAGAACAGGUCAGGCCCGUCGGCAGGAGCCCCACCCUGUUUGGCCAGGAUGCCUUUGGGACGCUUGGCAGGGAGUGCCCGCUCCGAGGAGGGAAGCGAGGCCUUUCUGGAGGGAAUGGUGGAUUGGGAGCUGAGUAGGCUGCAGCGACAAUGCAAAGUGAUGGAAGGGGAGAGGCGGGCCUACAGCAAGGAAGUCCACCAGCGCAUCAACAAGCAACUUGAGGAGAUCCGGCGCUUGGAGGAGGUACGGGGUGAUCUCCAGGUGCAGAUCAGUGCAGCCCAGAACCAGGUCAAGCGGCUUCGGGACAGUGAGCGGCUGGAGAACAUGGAC
rnacentral:sRNA from 1 species